rnacentral:rRNA from 1 species
UACGGGGGGUGCGAGCGUUGUUCGGAAUUACUGGGCGUAAAGCGCACGUAGGCGGCUUUGUAAGUUAGAGGUGAAAGCCCAGGGCUUAACCCUGGAAUUGCCUUUAAGACUGCAUCGCUGGAGCACUGUAGAGGCGGGUGGAAUUCCGGGUGUAGCGGUGGAAUGCGUAGAGAUCGGGAGGAACACCAGUGGCGAAGGCGGCCCUCUGGGCCGGGCCUGACGCUGAGACGCGAGGGCGUGGGGAGCGAACGGG